UUUAGUGGCGGACGGGUGAGUAACGCGUGGGCAACCUGCCUUACACAGGGGGAUAACACUUAGAAAUAGGUGCUAAAACCGCAUAAGCGCACAGCUUCGCAUGAAGCGGUGUGAAAAACUCCGGUGGUGUAAGAUGGACCCGCGUCUGAUUAGCUUGUUGGCGGGGUAACGGCCCACCAAGGCGACGAUCAGUAGCCGGCCUGAGAGGGCGGACGGCCACAUUGGGACUGAGACACGGCCCAGACUCCUACGGGAGGCAGCAG
rnacentral:rRNA from 1 species